rnacentral:rRNA from 1 species
UACAGAGGGUGCUAGCGUUGUUCGGAAGUCAUUGGGCGUAAAGGGCGUGUAGGCGGUUUGUUAAGUUCAUGUGUGAAAAUCCCCUCGGCUCAACCGGGGGAACGACGCAUGAAACUGGGCAAGCUAGAGUACCAAAGGAGGGGGUGGAAGUUCCCGGUGUAGCGGUGAAAUUCGUAGAUAAUUGGGAAGAACACCGGUGG